GUUUUAUUCUCUGUACUUAUUUAAAACUACAAACGGCACUCUGCUCAUUUAACAAGAACAAAAGAUUAAAUGAUGUUCAAAAAUCAAAUUAAUAAACAAAAUGUUUAAUAGCACAGGAGUCUAAAAGAACAUUACAUUUAAAAUGGGAAUAUAAAACAAUAAAUACAAGUUAGCAUUGAGGCUCAUUACAUAUCUAGCUUACACAUGUCAGAUUCACACUACUAAACUAAGAAAAUACUUUCCACUUUUAUACAAGCAAAAUUUAUUUUCUACAGUGCUAUUAAGCAGACAGGUAGGUCAUCUUGGCGAGUUAUCAAAUCAACAAAAGGUACUUGAACUAGAAAUGAUACUUAGUAAACUGUAAAUUGUAGGGAAUUCAAAAUGAAUUUAAAAAUUCACAUUGAAUUCCUAACAAGAUCUCCUAUAAUGACUUUGUGUGAAAACAGGCGACUUUCACAUCCAGUGUAAGAAACUGGUCUACCAAACAGACUGUUUACAUGUUUCUCAUUGUUCUCUUUAUAUUUGUGCGGCACUGUAAAAUUAAUGCGUAACACAUCUUUACAGUAGAAUCAUACUAAAAUUAAUACAAGAAACCAAAUGAUAAACUAGUCCAAGAUUACAGAUUAAUUUAUAAAACAUGCAACUUCUGAGAAUUAAAUAGGUGAUUUAAAGAAACAAUAAACCGACAACAUUGUUUAUAUAGACAGAUACUGUAUAUCGAAAAUCAGUGUUGAUUCGGGAACUGGCUAUGACUGGGCACAAGUUCUCUGUACAACUGAUUGUAAAGUUUAUAUAAUUUUUUUUACAGUCAAAGUAUAAAACAUGUUUACAGAACAGAAGCAAAUGGAUUAACUCUAUAGUGCUGAGAAUUUACAAGAAAACUGAAAAUUUUUAAUUUAUGUCAAAAUAGCAAUAAAACCCAUGUUAAAUUCUUCCCAUUUCCCAGUUGAAUGAAUAAACUUAAAAGCGUGGACUACAAUUAACCAUCUCCAAAUUAUUUAGCAAAUUAGAGGUAUAUUAUGUAAAUAAUAUGUAGAAAAAAAUAGUAAGGUGCACUCCUGGAUUUGAAAAAUUACUUGUUUUAUUGUGCAGAAAAAUCAAAGUUCAGUGGAUCCAUUUUUCUGCACAAUAAACCAAGUAAUUUUUCAAAUCCAAGAGUGCACCUUACUAUUUUUUCUAUAUACAAAUCGCUGGUUUGCACCCUGGUACGUAUUUUUGUAUAUAUUGUAUAUA